rnacentral:rRNA from 1 species
CGCGGCCUAUCAGCUUGUUGGUGGGGUAAUGGCCUACCAAGGCAACGACGGGUAGCCGGCCUGAGAGGGUGACCGGCCACACUGGGACUGAGACACGGCCCAGACUCCUACGGGAGGCAGCAGUGGGGAAUAUUGGACAAUGGGCGAAAGCCUGAUCCAGCAACGCCGCGUGAGGGAUGACGGCCUUCGGGUUGUAAACCCCUUUCAAUAGGGACGAAGCGUAAGUGACGGUACCUAUAGAAGAAGCACCGGCCAACUACGUGCCAGCAGCCGCGGUAAUACGUAGGGUGCGAGCGUUGUCCGGAAUUAUUGGGCGUAAAGGGCUCGUAGGCGGUUUGUCGCGUCGGGAGUGAAAACUCAGGGCUUAACCCUGAGCCUGCUUCCGAUACGGGCAGACUAGAGGUAUGCAGGGGAGAACGGAAUUCCUGGUGUAGCGGUGAAAUGCGCAGAUAUCAGGAGGAACACUGGUGGCGAAGGCGGUUCUCUGGGCAUUACCUGACGCUGAGGAGCGAAAGCAUGGGGAGCGAACAGGAUUAGAUACCCUGGUAGUCCAUGCCGUAAACGUUGGGCGCUAGGUGUGGGACUCAUUCCACGAGUUCCGUGCCGCAGCUAACGCAUUAAGCGCCCCGCCUGGGGAGUACGG